rnacentral:rRNA from 1 species
UGAGGAAUAUUGGUCAAUGGACGUGAGUCUGAACCAGCCAAGUCGCGUGAAGGAAGAAGGUUCUAUGGAUUGUAAACUUCUUUUAUACGGGAAUAAAGUGCGCCACGUGUGGUGUUUGUAUGUACCGUAUGAAUAAGCAUCGGCUAACUUCGUGCCAGCAGCCGCGGUAAGACGAAGGAUGCAAGCGUUAUCCGGAUUCAUUGGGUUUAAAGGGAGCGUAGGUGGCCUUAUAAGUCAGUGGUGAAAUCCUGCAGCUUAACUGUAGAAUUGCCAUUGAUACUGUAGGGCUUGAGUAUAGAUGCCGUUGGCGGAAUAUGACAUGUAGUGGUGAAAUACAUAGAGAUGUCAUAGAACACCGAUUGCGAAGGCAGCUAACGAAACUAUAACUGACACUGAGGCUCGAAAGUGUGGGGGAUCAAACAGGAUUAGAUACC